rnacentral:rRNA from 1 species
UACGGAGGGAGCUAGCGUUGUUCGGAAUUACUGGGCGUAAAGCGCACGUAGGCGGUCUUUUAAGUCAGGGGUGAAAUCCCGGGGCUCAACCCCGGAACUGCCCUUGAAACUGGGAGACUAGAAUACUGGAGAGGUGAGUGGAAUUCCGAGUGUAGAGGUGAAAUUCGUAGAUAUUCGGAGGAACACCAGUGGCGAAGGCGGCUCACUGGACAGGUAUUGACGCUGAAGUGCGAAAGCGUGGGGAGCAAACAGG